GUUAAUGUAGCUUAUAGUAAAGCAAAGCACUGAAAA
rnacentral:tRNA from 1 species